rnacentral:rRNA from 1 species
AUUGAUCGCUGGCGGCAUGCCCUACACAUGCAAGUCGAACGGCAGCACGGGAGCAAUCCUGGUGGCGAGUGGCGAACGGGUGAGUAAAGUAUCGGAACGUGCCCAGUCGUGGGGGAUAACGUAGCGAAAGUUACGCUAAUACCGCAUACGAUCUAUGGAUGAAAGCGGGGGAUCGCAAGACCUCGCGCGAUUGGAGCGGCCGAUAUCAGAGUAGGUAGUUGGUGGGGUAAAGGCUCACCAAGCCGACGAUCUGUAGCUGGUCUGAGAGGACGACCAGCCACACUGGGACUGAGACACGGCCCAGACUCCGACGGGAGGCAGCAGUGGGGAAUUUUGGACAAUGGGCGAAAGCCUGAUCCAGCCAUGCCGCGUGCAGGAUGAAGGCCUUCGGGUUGUAAACUGCUUUUGUACGGAACGAAAAGGUUUGGGCUAAUAAGCUGAGCUCAUGACGGUACCGUAAGAAUAAGCACCGGCUAACUACGUGCCAGCAGCCGCGGUAA